ACAAGCAGUAGGAGCACCUUCGUGGUGUGACUGCGUACCUUUUGUAUAAUGGGUCAGCGACUUAUAUUCAGUGGCAAGGUUAACCAUCUAGGGGAGCCGUAGGGAAACCGAGUCUUAACUGGGCGCCAUAGUCUCUGGAUAUAGACCCGAAACCGAGUGAUCUAGCCAUGGGCAGGUUGAAGGUUGAGUAACAUCAACUGGAGGACCGAACCGACUAAUGUUGAAAAAUUAGCGGAUGACUUGUGGCUAGGGGUGAAAGGCCAAUCAAACUCGGAGAUAGCUGGUUCUCCCCGAAAGCUAUUUAGGUAGCGCCUCGGACGAAUACUACUGGGGGUAGAGCACUGUUAAGGCUAGGGGGUCAUCCCGACUUACCAACCCUUUGCAAACUCCGAAUACCAGUAAGUACUAUCCGGGAGACACACGGCGGGUGCUAACGUCCGUCGUGGAGAGGGAAACAACCCAGACCGCCAGCUAAGGUCCCAAAUUACAGCUAAGUGGGAAACGAUGUGGGAAGGCUUAGACAGCUAGGAUGUUGGCUUAGAAGCAGCCAUCAUUUAAAGAAAGCGUAAUAGCUCACUAGUCGAGUCGGCCUGCGCGGAAGAUGUAACGGGGCUAAGUUGUAAACCGAA
rnacentral:rRNA from 1 species